AGGCAUGUUGCUCUUCACGAUCGCAUAGUCACUCUCGCGAUCGUGUAAGGUAAAUGGGGACGGGGGUGAUUUUGUUCAAUGCGAAUGCGAGGGAAGGAACACGAAUGCGGAGCACCGGGGGAUUGCUCUACGCGAACACAAUCCACGUCCCGCGAACGCAUAGAGUAAAUGGGGGUUGGUGUGGAAUUGAAUAUUUUCCUCUACGCGAACACGUUCAUAGGCCCGCGAAUGCGAAGGUCAGUGGGGCCAAACCUUCUCGAACGUGUAUGAGGAAUUUCGAUUGUAUAAGCAUGUGUAAGGCUACUCUUUGCGAAAGCGGGAGACCUACCGCGAACACGAUGAAGGUCUGCCCGGCGAUUUAAACAGUAUAUUAAACAAGAAUUGUUCAAAUUUCAUAACUUCUUCAUCUCAACUCCAAAUUGGGCGAUUUUUGAAAGAGGAUUUCAC
rnacentral:lncRNA from 1 species